GACCUGGUGGUGAAUGGCUCAUACCCACUUUACUUGCAUGUUUACGUUUGGAGGAGGAAUACGGUGGGUGUCCCCGGUUCGAAUCCGGGCCAGGUCA